rnacentral:rRNA from 1 species
AUACGUAGGGGGCGAGCGUUGUCCGGAAUGAUUGGGCGUAAAGGGCGCGUAGGCGGCCCGGUAAGUCUGGAGUGAAAGUCCUGUUUUUAAGAUGGGAAUUGCUUUGGAUACUGUCGGGCUUGAGUGCAGGAGAGGUAAGUGGAAUUCCCAGUGUAGCGGUGAAAUGCGUAGAGAUUGGGAGGAACACCAGUGGCGAAGGCGACUUCAUGGUCUGUAACUGACGCUGAGGCGCGAAAGUGUGGGGAGCAAACAGGAUUAGAUACCCUGGUAGUCCACACUGUAGACGAUGUAUGCUAGGUGUAGGGGGUAUCGACCCCUUCUGUGCCGCAGUCAACACAAUAAGCAUUCCGCCUGGGGAGUACGGCCGCAAGGUUGAAACUCAAAUGAAUUGACGGGG